rnacentral:rRNA from 1 species
UACGAAGGGGGCUAGCGUUGCUCGGAAUGACUGGGCGUAAAGGGCGCGUAGGCGGCUCAUAGAGUCGGGCGUGAAAUUCCUGGGCUUAACCCGGGGGCUGCGUUCGAUACCUGUGGGCUGGAGUGAGGAAGAGGGUCGUGGAAUUCCCAGUGUAGAGGUGAAAUUCGUAGAUAUUGGGAAGAACACCGGUGGCGUAGGCGGCGACCUGGUCCUUUACUGACGCUGAGGCUCGAAAGCGUGGGGAGCAAACAGG